rnacentral:lncRNA from 1 species
GCGGGAAGCAUAACCAUUUUUGCCAACUCCCCGAUGAGUCGACGAUUUUGGAGUUCCUGAUCGGUGGCUUUGAAGCACAUCCCGAUCGCGAUCUUCGGCUCCCCAGAAGGCAUAUCCGGAUCGUAGUCCACGAUGAAAUGGGGGAACAUUGGUGCCUUAUCUUUGUCGGCACCCUUGUCGGCAGCUUUCUGACUGGCUGUCCGACUUCCUCUGAAAUCGGUUU